AUGACGUGUCUCAUUGCCGGGUCCCUGAGAGCUGGCUGUGAAGAUGCCCAAUUGUGAAGUCACUUCGAGCUGUUCAUGGAUGUGCCUGAUUGCUAACAGUGAUCCCCUAUACAUCAGCAUUUCUACAGCCCCACAGAGCCAUGUACAUCCCAGUCAAGCCAUUGAGAAAAUUCCUGUGGAGGCACCCAGAGCCCUGGCAAUCUGAGCUAAGCUAUUUAUUCUGGACCACCACCUCAUCUUGCAUGUUAAGUACAAAAUGGAAAAAUGCCUCAAAUUGGGAAACGGGGCUCCAGUCCCAGAUGGUGUCUGAACAUGCAUAAAUUUGGUUGCUGGGU